GGGGUUCUGCCUUCAGGUAGCUCCAGCCGGCUGGCCAGAGAUCGAAAUUCGUAUUGAUUGAAAUUGUUUAAUUAAUAAAAUAAAAUAAAUAAAAAAUUCAAAUAUUCAAAUCCCGAUGUUGGGUACGGAGACACCUCCACCGUCUGUCAAAUCACCGGUUGACCUUGGGGUCUGGUACGGCGUUUUCUUUUCCCCAACUGGAAACGUGCGGUGGAUGUGACAAGUGCUACUAGUUCGCUGUAAUGAUAAAGAGUUAUUACCACCUAAGCCCGGAUGCUUAUCAAGGCUCGAGGAGAUAUCAGGUAAAGGAAGUAUAGGAAGUUUUCUCCACCAGUUAUAUUUCAGGUGCUUUUCAGCAAAGCAAUAACCCGACCUGAGAUGACUUGAACAGGAGGUAAUAGCUCUCGAAUAAGGUCGGCAAGGAUUUACCUGGCGACGGCCCUUACAGAGGAACUUCCACCCGGUUCCAACAACCUCUACUCAAAGUCGGUGGAAUCAGACGGCAACCACGGAAGGGAAGCUCUUUGGAUUCCAGUCCGGUCGACCGACCGAAGGCAAGAAUACAAAGAACUAGUUCUGUGUCCGGUUUUAUAAGCCCGCAGGGAUUUACCCUACCAGGAUUAUCUUCCCGGGAACAGGUCUAGGAAAAUAAUGAAACUAAAACGAAAAGCUCUGGUGGAAUUAAAACGGAAAAUAAAAUAAACUUAAAACGGAUCUCAGGUUUUCGAAACGGGCAGGAAUCGGGUCGGGUUCUGGUUCGGGGAAUGAUUUGAACAUGGAACGGAAUUAAUCGGAAGUGCUCUCUGGUACUUUACAAACACCUUUUAUAGGACACACAACAAGGUGGGAGAUGUAGAAGGGAUUGCAAAUAAAGGAUGGGGACGACAACAGGCGACAUCUAACGAGGGGAUUUUACAAAACAUAGUACAGGAUGUUUCACAAAUAAAAUUCCAACGUUAUCAA